rnacentral:rRNA from 1 species
GUGCCAGCCGCCGCGGUAAUACGGAGGGUGCAAGCGUUAUCCGGAUUUAUUGGGUUUAAAGGGUCCGUAGGCGGAAAAUUAAGUCAGUGGUGAAAUCCUGCAACUCAACUGUAGAAUUGCCAUUGAAACUGAUUUUCUUGAAUAUGUACGAAGUGGGCGGAAUAUGACAUGUAGCGGUGAAAUGCUUAGAUAUGUCAUAGAACACCGAUUGCGAAGGCAGCUCACUAGUCCAUUAUUGACGCUGAGGGACGAAAGCGUGGGGAGCGAACAGGAUUAGAAACCCUGGUAGUCC